ACGGAAGGCAGCAGUGGGGAAUAUUGGACAAUGGGGGAAACCCUGAUCCAGCGACGCCGCGUGAGUGAAGAAGUAUUUCGGUAUGUAAAGCUCUAUCAGCAGGGAAGAAAAUGACGGUACCUGACUAAGAAGCCCCGGCUAACUACGUGCCAGCAGCCGCGGUAAUACGUAGGGGGCAAGCGUUAUCCGGAUUUACUGGGUGUAAAGGGAGCGUAGACGGCAAAGCAAGUCUGAUGUGAAAUGUUGGGGCUCAACCCCGAAACUGCAUUGGAAACUGUUUAGCUAGAGUGCAGGAGAGGUAAGUGGAAUUCCUAGUGUAGCGGUGAAAUGCGUAGAUAUUAGGAGGAACACCGGUGGCGAAGGCGGCUUACUGGACUGUAACUGACGUUGAGGCUCGAAAGCGUGGGGAGCAAACAGGAUUAGAUACCCUGGUA
rnacentral:rRNA from 2 species